AAGACUAUAGACCUGCGGAGUACCUGCGGCGGGAUCAUUAACGUAUCUAUGAUGGGGUGCGGAGCGCCCUGCUCCGGUCGAACGGCCGUGCAGCGGGUGCGCCGCCCCCGUCCCACCUCACAAACCCACUGUGAACAUUCACCGGUGGAGGGGGCUCGGUCUGCGCCGUGUCCCCGAUGCCGAAUACCCAAACUCCAGUUGCAAAGAACGUCGUGCGGACUCGGUGCCGCCUAAAACAUG
rnacentral:misc_RNA from 1 species